rnacentral:lncRNA from 1 species
UCUGUCCCUGAAAGGCCAGAACAAACUGCCUCCUAGGGUAACACUAAGUGCUACUGCCAUUUGAGACAGACGUGUGCACAGACAGCCCUAGCUCACAGGAUUGUAGGUCCCCAGCGGAUGAAUGAACUGGCUGUUUGCUGGGUGCCGGGAAGAUGCUUUGGAGCCACCCAUAGAUGGACCUGCAUGGGGACUUGCUUUUCCAGGAGAGAUGAUUGAUUCACCAUGCUGACCUGACCACUCUCCCACGUGGUCUUCCUAGUGAUCAGAUGGGGUAUCUGAAGGUUCAGAAACAGAUCAAAGAAAACGCUGUGCACAUGGAGUGAAUGUGCGGUGGCUCAGACCUGUAAUCCCAGCACUUUGGGAGGCCAAGGCAAGAGGAUUACUUGAGCUCAGGAGUUUGAGACCAGCCUGGGGGAGGAAAAAAGACUCAGAGAGGUUAAGUAUCCGACCCAAGGCACACAGCUGUUUCUCAGGGGAGCCCGGAUUCAAACCCAGGGACUCGGAUCCUAGAGCCUGUGCUUUCACCCGCUGCGCUGCACCAUAUGUGUACCAGGAUGGUAGAAUCAGAGGUCUGGAUUCCAGCAUUUCCCUGCCAGAGGCUAUGGUGGGUGUGCCGAGCACCACCCUGAGGGGGAAGCAGUAUCUCAGCAACUACACCCCCGAGGAAGAGGCAGUCCCCAAUCAGCGGGAGCAAUGGGACCUGCUGAUGACAAAAUAAGCCACAGAAUGAAUGGCUCUGCUCCACUGGCCUUCUCUCCUCCCUGCCCCCUU